GCCGAGGCUCAGGACAUCACCCAGGGCAGAUGGCGUAAAUUCGCCAAAUGCGUAUUUCCAGCUCCAAGGAGCACCCCCAGCCUCAGCUCUGUUGUUAGAGCAGGAACUCCCUGUAAAAACCGCGCACACUGCGGCCUGUCGGCCCUGUGCCAAGACCUUGUCUCUUCUUGGGUAGCAGUGCUGGGACCAUCCGGUAAGGAGCAAGCCCUGGUCCCAGGCCGGAGUGAGGAUUUGCUGUGAGCUGUGGGACCCAGGGCCCCUCUCCCUCGAGCCCUGCAGCUGCUCACGUCACCACACGGAGCCUCUCUGCAUGGAACAAAACUCCCUAUCCUCUGAGGGCUCCUGAUGCUAUCGUCUGUCUCACAGGAAACCCUGACGGAGGUCUGGGCAGAUGUUGCAGUGGAGGGAGCGGCGAAAGGGCCAGAGGAGCUCAGGUCUUAUCCAUGGCACCAUGCACUGACAUGGGCACUGCCCGGGGCGUCCACUGUCUGUGUCCAGCUGCUUCCCAGGCUGCGCUCCUGCUGGCCAUGGGCCCGAAGACAGGGCUGAACCUUCCUACCUCUGACAGCUCCCACCUUGCAGGGCCAGCCAGGCUGCAUCCUCAUGGCCAGCCCAGCUUUGGGACCCUGUCAUGGCUGAGGCAGGAGGACCACAGCAAGUGUGCGGCCGGCCUGGGCUACAUGGCAAAACCCUGGCUCAAGAACAACAGCAAAAAACAGGUUUACCCAAACCACCUUGAGGAAAUUUGAAAGACAAAGCCACUAACUGAAGAGGGCUAUUUGCAAUGCUUAAGACAGACAGUGUAAUUACAUAAAAAGAAAAAGAAAGACCAACAGUGGCCCCUGGAGAAAUGGGCAGGGUCGCAGGUAGGCGUCGGGUGGUUUGGUCAACCCACCAAACUCCGUGGAGAUCGUCAGACGUCGUGCGCAUGAUGGGAGGCACAAACCUGGCUGCAGCGGGGGACCACUGCCUGCACCCCAGACCCGUGGGAACGGGGCACAGCAGGUUAAACCCCGAGAACUGUCCCACGCCGUCCUGAGGUUGAAGCCCUCGGGGUGCCCCUCGCAGAGCAGGCACCUUCCUGGGCCCCAAGAACAAGGGUGAAUGUGCUCAGAUGUCCCAGCAGCUCUCCGGGGAAAACAUCGGACCAGACACGGCUCUGUGCUUGUCACCAAAGGGGAGAUGGGUUCUUAGUCACACAGAAAUCCACUGUGACCACAACUGCACACCACCACUGUGGCGCUGCCUAGUGACUCAAGGCCAAGUAGAGCUAGUCUUUGAAGACACACAGUGAUGCCCUGUCCCCUGCAACUCCAAGCCAGGCAAGCCAGGCACGGGGCCACAGGCCUGUAAUCCCAGCUCUCAGGAGGCUGAGACAGGAGGAUCGCCAUGAGUUUGAGGCCAGCCUAGGGCUACGUAGUUCAAGGCCACUGGAGUACAUAGCAAGACCCUGCCUCGAAAACCCAAACAACAAGACAAAAUCAGGCAUAGCUAGCCAUGCACAUAUGUACUUCAGAAUGUUUAACAAGAAGAGAAAGCUGGAGCUCAGGGAGGCAGCAGGGUGGCUAGUGGGCUAGGCAGGAGGAGAGGAGCUCUCCUUGUGGUGGCCUCAGGUUAGUGGGGACAGGUGUCCCGGCAGGCUGUGCAGGUGGCCCUGGCUUCCAGGCCCCUUCCCCAAGCCUGUCCACAACAGGCCAGUUGGGAGGACAGUGGCUUGGCACCAGGGCAGUGGAGAACUGAGCUCAGAGAUAGGCCAGAAAACCCACAGAAAUAAGGCAGCAUUCUCAGGGCUUCCUAGGCUGAGGCUAGGCUUUCAAGUUGGUCCAUUUGGCAGGAGCUGAUGAGGAAAAGGGGUCUCAGGGGCUGGAGGCAGCAGCUAUCCAGUGCCACAGUUGGGGUACAGGGAGG
rnacentral:lncRNA from 1 species